UGGCGGUGAAGAUGUCACCUUUGCUUUUGCUUCUUCUUUGCUCUGAAGUGUGGCUCAGACAGAAGUACGUGUUUUUUAUCCAAUUUAGAAUCGGACAACGUGCUUGCUUGUUAAACAGAAACAGAUUUCCAUUAAGACAUUCAGUUUAAAGGUCCAACGUGUUGCCUUUUUCUAUUCACCUGAGCUAAGCUAUACCCCAUACAGUAACAAGAAGACAACCGACCGCAGUGUCACCACGUGAUAGAACAUGAAGCUUGGACUUGCCGACUGUCGGCCAUUGAAUUGAAACUCAUCAGAGGGGCAGAGACUGUCCUCGUAUUAAUUGUUAUUGCAAUUCAUACUUUCACUGACCGUGUUAAUUCCUAAUGGUCGAAAUCCUGUUUUUCAGCUACAAUUAUUUUUAUUCUCCUUGGAAAAGUCUAUUACCCCUCGAAUCAAUCCCUUCAAUCAAGGGGACACGAAGUCGUAUAAGAUAGCAGGUCAGUAGUGCAUGAAUGUCGACGAGUGAGCUCUUCGACACGCCAGUACACGGGAACAGCAUUUGCCAUUAGGUGCAAUUUAUAUUGUCCAUCAGCUUAUAAUCAUGGGUAACUAUCAAUGUAUUUCACAAUUAAGUUUGUAUGUCUGUUAAUUUAGAUUGAUUAAUAAGCUUGUUCUUGGUUGUCUGCAUCUCUAAUGAAAUAGAUGAAGAUUUUAAUUAGCUAUUGUCUUAUUAUAGCUAACUACUGUGUUAAGCUGCUGUCGGUUGUUAGCUCUUUGAUGGUCGGAACAAAUUGGAUAAAUUGUCCUUUGGAAUAAGUAUUACUUAGAGCUAUGUAGUUGCACUACCAUUCUGGUGGUAAAUUAUCCAUUCAUCUUUACAUAACACUUACAUUCCCUUAUUUGUAAUUGCAGUAAUGUGACAAAACUAGUUGGAGUUGUCUAGGAACAAACCUUUCCUUUUUCUCAUCUAUUCUGUAAGACAACUUUGAUUGUUUGUCAUAACAACAAUAGUAAUGAUUAAAAAAAGGGGAAUUUUGACAUUUUCCCCAUGAAUCCUUCAUAGAUUCUAUCCAGAAAUAAAUCUAAGAGUGUCAAAUUUGUGUGAAAAUGUUAAGGUAUGGUUUUGUACUUCCUUAUUGAAGAUGGCAUAAUGAUUAUUGAUUUUGAAUCUGUGAUUGUUGUUUUGCAAUAAGCAUCUUUAUGAACAAUUUAGUUGAUUGAGAGCCCAUGAGUUAAUUGAAUAAUGUCUUUAAUUAUAGAAAGGAAAGUUUCAGAUAAUGAGGCUGUCAUUUUUGGCUUUCAUUGUGAUCUUUAGCAGCCAAAUGGAAGUGGAACAAAUACUUGAAGUCCUUGCUAUAUGCUCCAGGUUAUCUAGAGAUUGAUUAAAUAAACAAGUUCCUUGCAGGAAUGGAAAGUUGAUCUAGAAAUAAUCUAGAAUAGGUCACUGCUGGUGAAGCUGUUGAAGAAGUCAGCCCUGUGGGACAAGAAGCAGCUACCCCACCGAGCAUUGAAUUCUUAUUUGACGAAAUAGAAACCCGAUGCACUGAAUCUAGUGGUGGCUAGGGACACAAACUGAUUGUGCAGGUCAGAAAGACAUGGAAAUACACGAAAAUGGUUGGGGUGUUCCAUGUAAAAGUACAACUGAGAAAUAGAGCUGCAACGAUUUUCAACAACGUCAGGAGCAGCACUUGCGAGAUUCACUUGACUACGGAUGACUUUUGCAAAACGACGUUUUGGAUUUAGGUAUCGUUUGGUUUAAUUAGCUAUUUGCACAGCACCCAUUUUAUUAGAAAGGAUAUGCUGGUGAGUUGAUUCUAAUUUCAUCGCAUGUAUUCUAGAAACUUCCACCGAAGCAACCUAUUUUGAUCCUCAUUAGUUUAAAGUGCAUGUGAAUUAUCACGAUAAAUUAAAUGUGUGUAGGAAGUGGAGUGCAGAGUAAAUUGAACCACGCCAUUUUUAAGCAAUGCGUAGAGAUAGUGCGCCUUUACGUUGACAAAGUCGAUGAUAGUGAACUUCAAGUGCUUUUCGUACUCCAGACAUUACUCAGCCAACAUCAACACUGGGAAGGUGCUUUGUUUCUUCAAGGAACAUUGCUUAGUGAAGAAAAACAGGCGAUAAACUGCAAGACUAUGCCGCACCAACUAACUGAGACCGAAUCUUUCUAUUAGAGAUCGCUGCUUUUCCAUCGUUACAGCCAGACUACCAUUAAACUGUUGAAACUACAAGGACUUGAAAAUUUGACGGAUUCACCGUAGACUUAGUCGUUUUCCUUGAAGUCAUUUGGUCGUCGUGGCAUGAUGUGAACAUGCACACGCUGUGCUCAUCAACAGAUCAGUUUCGAAGGAAAUAAAAUUAGUCACGUUAGAAAGGUACUUGAAAACUUCAAUUAAAGUUAUUUCUAACUUGAAUGCUUUGUCCAGCAUCUGGUUCAUCCUGCACCACGAUCAUAGAGGAAGAAGCCCCGUGGAAGGUUCCAUGCCACGUUGAACUUGCUGUGCAGUUAAAAAUAAAUCUGCUAGUUCUUCUGGCUGCAUGUCGAGGAUACGUUUAGUUGACUUUAAUGCCAUCACCAUGUGAAUAUGCUUACAUCCUGGAACGACACAUUUUGGUUUAACAAAUGCUACAGAAUAUUUGCUGCGGUAGAAGAUAGCCCAUUCUUGAAUAUUUGCUUGGUCGAAUGUGAAUGUAGCCUCGUCUUCUGGGAGUGGCAAGGCAGGUGAUAAAGAAUUGUAAAGAAAACUCACAAUGACGUCGUUUUUGCCGAAAAUAUGUGCUGUUCUUGCAGUAGUAUUAUCGGGUACAAUAGAUCGUUCAAACAUUCCUUGUUGCCAUGUAUGGGCAACAGUAUUACCUUGAAGGCUCAGAUCAUGGUACAGCUAUUUCAGACAUUCUGGCAGAACUAUUUAAAAGAAUUCGGAAAGAAUGUUAUUACCUCAUACCUCGAGCAUAGUAGGAGAACAACCACUGAAAAGAAAGCUGCUGUAAACUGACAACCGUGACUUCAUUUCUAGCUUGCCUCAACUUGGUUAAGUCAGAAAAAAUUGCUGUUGGGCGUUCUUCAGUGCUAAGGUAUGCCAGUUUACAUGUAGUCAACAUGAAAAAUUGCACACUUCCUCCAUCACAGAGUUAAGCUUAACAAUAACAAAUGAUAAGUGCUUUUAGAUAAGACAAUUUAAUAUUCUUUAAUAUGUCUACCAUAUUGGAUUCCAGGUUUCCUUGAAGAAGGUGACCGAGUUGUUGAAUGAACUGAAUCCAUCAGCGUGGGAAAACCUGUUGCCAAGGAUAAAAGGUUCCAAAAAUAAUACCAAAAAUGGAUUGUCGGAAGUUACGGACUUGAUAUAUGACAAGGCUGCCGAGGAUCCAAAUUAGUUUCCCGUUUAUGCAAAACUGGUUGAGCUUUUUCGUUUCAAAAAGCACAAAGUGCGUGCUCAUCAAGCCCUAAUGGAAUAACCAUUUCCGAAGUAUAUUGUUGACCCGUGACCUAAAGGCUAAUGGAAGUAAAGCCGGAGCCCUAAACGAAAAGGAGUUUGUCGAUAUUAAAAAUCCGUAUAGGUGAAAUAAAAAUAAAUUAUAAUUAAUUACUAUAUUUUUUUUUUUUUGGAUUUAAGAAAAUAUCCCCAUUACGAUAUAAUGGAAGAUGUAACGGUUACAUCUUGUUCAUCACAGUGGGAACUGAACCCAGGACCUUAAGCAUUUAAAACCGAUGCUUUACCAUUUAGCUAUCGAUGAUAGUCCAGCAAACGUCUAAGGAGGUGGGUAAGGAAGCAAGAUAUCAAAAAGGUACGGCGUCCGGCUCGCACUUCAAGUGACUGCGGUUCGAUUCUCUGGUAAGUUCUCCGAGACAUCGCAAAACAUCAGUCAAGUGCCUUAACCAAGUUAAGGAACAUCAUAAGUAGAACUCGGAUUACACACGACGCCACUGCGUAUAAUUCAAUAGGAAAUUUUCAGGGCAUCUGAUGAACCCAUUGAUUGGAUGUCCCCAUAUUAGUAUUCAGUGUACUGUAUAUGGAUAAUUUACAUUAAAAUUUUUCAUUUAUUUGCAA
rnacentral:lncRNA from 1 species